CCGGCACGGGUGAGUAACACGUAUCCAACCUGCCGUCUACUCUUGGACAGCCUUCUGAAAGGAAGAUUAAUACAAGAUGGCAUCAUGAGUCCGCAUGUUCACAUGAUUAAAGGUAUUCCGGUAGACGAUGGGGAUGCGUUCCAUUAGAUAGUAGGCGGAGUAACGGCCCACCUAGUCUUCGAUGGAUAGGGGUUCUGAGAGGAAGGUCCCCCACAUUGGAACUGAGACACGGUCCAA
rnacentral:rRNA from 1 species